GACAGAGGGGGCAAGCGUUGCUCGGAAUCACUGGGCGUAAAGGGCGCGUAGGCGGGAUGGCAAGUCGGUCGUGAAAUCCUUCGGCUCAACCGAAGAACGUCGGCCGAUACUGCCGUUCUUGAGGGAUGCAGAGGAGAUUGGAAUUCCCGGUGUAGCGGUGAAAUGUGUAGAGAUCGGGAGGAACACCGGUGGCGAAGGCGGCUUCCUGGACCGACACUGACGCUGAGGCGCGAAAGCUAGGGGAGCAAACGGG
rnacentral:rRNA from 1 species